UACGAAGGGGGCGAGCGUUGUUCGGAUUUACUGGGCGUAAAGGGCGCGUAGGCGGCUUGAUAAGGUUGCGGUGAAAGCCCGGGGCUCAACCCCGGGUCGGCCGUGGCAACUGUCGAGCUGGAGCACUGUAGAGGCAGGUGGAAUUCCGGGUGUAGCGGUGGAAUGCGUAGAGAUCCGGAAGAACACCGGUGGCGAAGGCGGCCUGCUGGGCAGUGGCUGACGCUGAGGCGCGACAGCGUGGGGAGCAAACAGG
rnacentral:rRNA from 1 species